rnacentral:rRNA from 1 species
AAUGCUGACAUGAGUAACGACAAAGAGUGUGAAAGACACUCUCGCCGAAAGUCCAAGGGUUCCUGCGUAAAGUUAAUCUGCGCAGGGUUAGCCGGCCCCUAAGGCGAGGCCGAAAGGCGUAGUCGAUGGGAACGGGGCAAAUAUUCCCCGGCCAGUGGAUGGUGACGGAUGCCGUAAAUCGUUCAGUCUUAUCGGAUUGAUUGGGCGGUGAAGGGGUUCCAGGAAAUAGCCUCCACAUCAGAUCGUACCCGAAACCGACACAGGUGGUCAGGUAGAGAAUACCAAGGCGCUUGAGAGAACUCGGGUGAAGGAACUAGGCAAAAUGGUACCGUAACUUCGGGAGAAGGUACGCCGCUGACGGUGAAGGGCUUGCCCCGUAAGCUGUUGGUGGUCGAAGUGACCAGGUGGCUGCGACUGUUUACUAAAAACAUAGCACUCUGCAAACACGUAAGUGGACGUAUAGGGUGUGACGCCUGCCCGGUGCCGGAAGG